CAGUAGCCGCGGUAAUACGAAGGGUGCAAGCGUUAAUCGGAAUUACUGGGCGUAAAGCGUGCGUAGGCGGUUUGUUAAGUCUGCUGUGAAAUCCCCGGGCUCAACCUGGGAAUGGCAGUGGAUACUGGCAAGCUAGAGUGUGUCAGAGGAUGGUGGAAUUCCCGGUGUAGCGGUGAAAUGCGUAGAGAUCGGGAGGAACAUCAGUGGCGAAGGCGGCCAUCUGGGACAACACUGACGCUGAGGCACGAAAGCGUGGGGAGCAAACAGGAUUAGAUACCCCCGUAGUCACUGUCUCUUAUAC
rnacentral:rRNA from 1 species